CCUACGGCGAGGCAGCAGUAGGGAAUAUUGGACAAUGGGCGCAAGCCUGAUCCAGCCAUGGCCGCGUGAAGGAUUAAGGUCCUCUGGAUUGUAAACUUCUUUUAUAAGGGACGAAAAAAGGGAAUUCUUUCUCACUUGACGGUACCUUAUGAAUAAGCACCGGCUAACUCCGUGCCAGCAGCCGCGGUAAU
rnacentral:rRNA from 1 species